rnacentral:rRNA from 1 species
CGAACGGCAACCUUGGAUUCGUCUGAGGUGAGAGUGGCGAACGGGUGAGUAACACGUAGGUGACCUGCCCUGGAGAGGGGGACAACCACUGGAAACGGUGGCUAAUACCCCAGAUGUCUAUGAGACUAGAGGCUCAUAGACUAAAGCUGAGGCGCUCUAGGAGGGGCCUGCGGCCCAUCAGCUAGUUGGUAGGGUAAUGGCUUACCAAGGCAUAGACGGGUAGGGGGCGUGAGAGCGUGACCCCCCACACUGGUACUGAGACACGGACCAGAUACCUGCGGGUAGCAGCAGCAAGGAAUAUUGCCCAAUGGACGCAAGUCUGAGGCAGCAACACCGCGUGGAGGACGAAGGCCUUCGGGUUGUAAACUCCUUUUCUGGGGGAAGAGAAAGGACGGUACCCCAGGAAUAAGUCUCGGCUAACUACGUGCCAGCAGCCGCGGUAAAACGUAGGAGGCAAGCGUUAUCCGGAUUUACUGGGCGUAAAGCGCAUGCAGGCGGUUUAACAAGUCGGACGUAAAAGCUCCUGGCUCAAUUAGGAGAGGCCGUUCGAGACUGUUAAACUUGAGGGUGGUAGAGGCGAGUGGAAUUCCCGGUGUAGUGGUGAAAUGCGUAGAUAUCGGGAGGAACACCAGUGGCGAAGGCGGCUCGCUGGGCCAAACCUGACGCUCAGAUGCGAAAGCUAGGGGAGAGAACGGGAUUAGAAACCCCGGUAUUCCUAGCUGUAAACGAUGUCAACUAGGCGUAGGCGGUGAUUGACCCCGUCUGUGCUGCAGCUAACGCGAUAAGUUGACCGCCUGGGGACUACGUCCGCAAGGCUAAAACUCAAAGGAAUUGACGGGGACCCGCACAAGCAGCGGAGCGUGUGGUUUAAUUCGAGCCUACGCGAAGAACCUUACCAGGGUUUGACAUAUGCGUGGUAGGGAGAUGAAAGUUGACCGACCCUUCGGGGAGCGCAAACAGGUGCUGCAUGGCUGUCGUCAGCUCGUGCCGUGAGGUGUUAGGUUAAGUCCUGUAACGAGCGCAACCCACGUCGCUAGUUAUACGUGUCUAGCGAGACUGCCGGUGAUAAGCCGGAGGAAGGUGUGGAUGACGUCAAGUCAGCAUGGCCUUUAUAUCCUGGGCUACACACACGCUACAAUGGCCGGUACAAUGGGUAGCGAAGCCGCGAGGCGGAGCCAAUCCUCCAAAGCCGGUCUCAGUUCGGAUUGCAGGCUGCAACUCGCCUGCAUGAAGUCGGAGUUGCUAGUAACCGCGCGUCAGCACAGUGCGGUGAAUACGUUCCCGGGUCUUGUACACACCGCCCGUCACGUCAUGGGAGUUGGCAACGCCUGAAGUCGGUGGGCUAACCUUACGGAGGCAGCCGCCUAAGGCGGGGUCGGUAACUGGGACGAAGUCGGAACAAGGUA